CGCCCGCCGACCCACCACUACUGAAGAUCAAUGACUGAACUACGAACCACACUGGAACAUGGUGGUAUACAAACAUCAAAGAACCUCCUCUCCCUCUGAUAAAUUGGAGCGAGACAAAGAGAGAGAAGACACACUGGACAGAGGUUUCAGACUCUAGAGGCUCUUGCUUGCAAUGAAGCUGUCAAAAAACUGUUACAGUUUCUCCACCCCUCAAGGAAUGAUGGUAUCUCUGAUAAAAUCAAAACAUAUUUGAAGAGUAAAAUCUUUGCUAAGGAAGAAAAAAGGCUUGCUUUUUUUUCUUUCUUUCUUUUCAUUUCUACCUUGUCAUUCUCUCCCUGUGAAGAGGUAUGCAAUUAUUUAUCUGAAUAUUUAUUAGGUCCCAAAAUUAAUUGAAGAAAGUUAAAAGAAGAUAGUGAAAAAAAUCCUUUGAAACUUUGAAAAGUUAGAAAUAGCUAAGUAGGUCUGUCUAUCACUGUCUCUAAGUAAGUUGCUUGAAAAAUGCUGUUUAUAAGCCAACACUGGUUCCUCUUCAUCUGUCUUUUCAAGCAGCCACCUGACUCUGAAUGUCUAGUCACAGAAUUUACUCAAUGCAAGAAUUAUUUCCUUGGUUUUCUUUAAUACAGAAAAUCUGGCAAGAAACUUAUUUGUAGUAACAGCAUCUGAAUGAAUAAAUCAAAUCAAAACAAACAAACAAACAAACAAAAAAACCCACAAAAAACAAGCAAGAAAACACAAUUACACAACAAACAAAGACAACAGAGAAACCCCAUAUUUUUGUAGGAGGAAGAUGAGUCCAGGCUUCCCACAGAAAAAAGUUUUAUUUUGUUACGUAACUGAUGGUUAGUUGCAUGCAAUCCUUAUUUUUCAUAGCCAACUACG
ensembl:lncRNA